UACGUAGGGACCGAGCGUUGUCCGGAAUCAUUGGGCGUAAAGAGCGUGUAGGCGGCUAUUUAAGUCCUGCGUGAAAUCCUGCGGCUCAACCGCAGACGGUCGUGGGAAACUGGAUGGCUAGAGUGCGGGAGAGGAGAGUGGAAUUCCCGGUGUAGCGGUGAAAUGCGCAGAUAUCGGGAAGAACACCCGUGGCGAAGGCGGCUCUCUGGAACGCAACUGACGCUGAGACGCGAAAAGCGUGGGGAGCGAACAGG
rnacentral:rRNA from 1 species